AAGGAAGCGAUUCCGGCUACGGAUGUUCAUGCGUCGCAUUAGCUUGUUGGCGGGGUAACGGCCCACCAAGGCGACGAUGCGUAGGGGUUCUGAGAGGAAGGUCCCCCACACUGGUACUGAGACACGGACCAGACUCCUACGGGAGGCAGCAGUGAGGAAUAUUGGUCAAUGGCCGCAGGGCUGAACCAGCCAAGUCGCGUGAGGGAUGACGGUCCUAUGGAUUGUAAACCUCUUUUGUCAGGGAGCAAAGGGCGCCACGUGUGGCGUUUUGCGAGUACCUGAAGAAAAAGCAUCGGCUAACUCCGUGCCAGCAGCCGCGGUAAUACGGAGGAUGCGAGCGUUAUCCGGAUUUAUUGGGUUUAAAGGGUGCGCAGGCGGAAUGUCAAGUCAGCGGUAAAAUUUCGGGGCUCAACCCCGUCGUGCCGUUGAAACUGGCGUUCUUGAGUGAGCGAGAAGUAUGCGGAAUGCGUGGUGUAGCGGUGAAAUGCAUAGAUAUCACGCAGAACUCCGAUUGCGAAGGCAGCAUACCGGCGCUCAACUGACGCUCAUGCACGAAAGCGUGGGUAUCGAACAGGAUUAGAUACCCUGGUAGUCCACGCAGUAAACGAUGAAUACUAACUGUCCGGGCAGAAUGAUGCCUGG
rnacentral:rRNA from 1 species